rnacentral:rRNA from 1 species
AUGGGAACGCGAAGAACCUUACCUAGACUUGACAUCUUCUGCAUUAAUCGUAAUGGAUGAAAUCCCUUCGGGGACAGAAUGACAGGUGGUGCAUGGUUGUCGUCAGCUCGUGUCGUGAGAUGUUGGGUUAAGUCCCGCAACGAGCGCAACCCUUAUUACUAGUUGCUACCAUUAAGUUGAGCACUCUAGUGAGACUGCCCGGGUUAACCGGGAGGAAGGCGGGGAUGACGUCAAAUCAUCAUGCCCCUUAUGUCUAGGGCUACACACGUGCUACAAUGGUGGGAACAAAGAGAUGCAAUACCGCAAGGUGGAGCUAAACUCAAAACCCCAUCCCAGUUCGGAUUGUAGGCUGAAACUCGCCUACAUGAAGCUGGAGUUGCUAGUAAUCGCGAAUCAGAAUGUCGCGGUGAAUACGUUCCCGGGUCUUGUACACACCG